rnacentral:rRNA from 1 species
UGAGGAAUAUUGGGCAAUGCCCGCAAGGGUGACCCAGCAACGCCGCGUGGAGGAUGAAUGUCGUAAGAUUGUAAACUCCUGUUAGAGGGGAAGAAUAGUACCGGUUGGACCGGUAUAUGACUGUACCCUCAGAGAAAGCCCCGGCUAACUACGUGCCAGCAGCCGCGGUAAUACGUAGGGGGCAAGCGUUGUCCGGAUUUACUGGGUGUAAAGGGCGCGCAGGCGGAAUAAAAAGUCAGUGGUGAAAUCCUACAGCUUAACUGUAGAACUGCCUUUGAUACUUUUAUUCUUGAGUUCGGGAGAGAGAGACGGAAUUCCAGGUGUAGUGGUGAAAUACGUAGAUAUCUGGAAGAACACCAGUUGCGAAGGCGGUCUCUUGGUCCGACACUGACGCUGAGGCGCGAAAGCGUGGGGAGCAAACA